AUUGAACGCUGGCGGCAGGCCUAACACAUGCAAGUCGAACGAGUGGCGGACGGGUGAGUAAUGCUUGGGAAUCUGCCUUAUGGAGGGGGAUAACUACUGGAAACUGUAGCUAAUACCGCGUACCAUCGGAUGUGCCCAGGUGGGAUUAGGUAGUUGGUGAGGUAAAGGCUCACCAAGCCGACGAUCUCUAGCUGGUCUGAGAGGAUGACCAGCCAAACGGGGACUGAGACACGGCCCAGACUCCUACGGGAGGCAGCAGUGGGGAAUAUUGCGCAAUGGGCGCAAGCCUGACGCAGCCAUGCCGCGUGUAUGAAGAAGGCCUUCGGGUUGUAAAGUUCUUUCAGCGGGGAGGCGUUACCUACAGAAGAAGCACCGGCUAACUCCGUGCCAGCAGCCGCGGUAAUUC
rnacentral:rRNA from 1 species